rnacentral:rRNA from 1 species
GACGAACGCUGGCGGCGUGCUUAACACAUGCAAGUCGAACGGAAAGGCCCUGCUUUUGUGGGGUGCUCGAGUGGCGAACGGGUGAGUAACACGUGAGUAACCUGCCCUUGACUUUGGGAUAACUUCAGGAAAAUGGGGCUAAUACCGGAUAGGAGCUCCUGCUGCAUGGUGGGGGUUGGAAAGUUUCGGCGGUUGGGGAUGGACUCGCGGCUUAUCAGCUUGUUGGGGGGGUAGUGGCUUACCAAGGCUUUGACGGGUAGCCGGCCUGAGAGGGUGACCGGCCACAUUGGGACUGAGAUACGGCCCAGACUCCUACGGGAGGCAGCAGUGGGGAAUAUUGCACAAUGGGCGGAAGCCUGAUGCAGCAACGCCGCGUGCGGGAUGACGGCCUUCGGGUUGUAAACCGCUUUCGCCUGUGACGAAGCGUGAGUGACGGUAAUGGGUAAAGAAGCACCGGCUAACUACGUG